AUGUAUAAAUGAUGUAUAAGAUAUAUACAUAUGUAUGUAAAAUAUGAUAUGUUGUAUACGAUAUUAAUGUUUAAUAUUUAAUAUUUAGAAUACAUAUGUAUGUAUACGUAACUAUGCACUGUAUAUAAUUUUAUAUAUAUAAUUGUUAUAUAUAUGUUAGAAGUAAAUGAAGUACUCCUUUUGCAACAGCUCAAAAAAAGUGAAGGUAACAAAUGGAGAAUACGUGACAUUGCGAGGUCUAAUUCUGAAGAAGCAGCUCAAAUACUUCAUUUACCAAUAAGAAUAGAAGUAACUGAACUCCAAGGCUUAAAAAUAUUUGAUAAAACAACAGAAAAUGAAAAAAAAAGUAGUAAAGGCAGAUUCAUCAAAUUAAGGGUAAAAUGGAAUUAAUUAUUUGCUUCCACAACGAUAUGGCAACGUUGGAACAGAGGAUAAUUCAGCCGAUGUAGCAUCCAGAGGGGUAUUUGCGAACAAAAUGGUAGGCCACAAUCUACGGUGCGGAGGUUACAAGAAGAUGAACAUCAAUGUCAAACACAGAGGAGUUAUUAUCAAAACAUCACAUUACUAAUUAACUAAAUUAAUAAGAUUUGUAAAAAUAACAAGACAAGAAUAUCAUCAUUAUUAAUUUGAAAUGUUUCAAGAGGAAGAGAACAAAAAUAUUUAGGGGCUAUAUAGCUGUAUUUGUAUUUAUGGCAAUAAGUGCUAUUCAUUUAAAGGCAGUAAGUGAAUUAACAACCGAAACGUUUUAAGCUGUUUAGAAAAGAUUUUUUGGAAGAAGAGGUAAAAGUCAUACUCAGACAAUGGAAUAAAUUUUGUAGGUGCUCAGAGAAAAUUAGACCUAGAUUUCAAAAAAGCAAUCAAGAAAAAUUCAACAGCAGCUGCCAUAUUAGAAACAGACAAAAUUCAACAGACAAAUUCAAACAGUUAAAUAUCAUUUAAGAAGGGUGAUAGGCGAAAGUAAAUUGACAUUUGAGAUUUGAGAGAUGAUUAAUUUGCUAUCACAAAUUAAAGCAAUGCUGAAUUCUCGACCUUUAUGUGCCAUUGGUAGUGAAAGCGAUAUCUAUUUUAACACCUGGUCUUUUUAAUACGAUGUCCAAUAAUAGAUUGUCCUGAAGCAAUUGAUUAUUCAUAAAUGGGCUCCUUGGAUAAGUGGAAAAAUACAAAAAAUGAAAAGGGACUUUUGGACACGGUGAAUAUGGCGAAAUGCUGCAACAACGAAUGAAAUGGAAAACCAAAUCCAAUCUAGCAGAGGGUUAAAUAGUAAUUAUUAAAGAAGAAGAGUGUGGCAAUUAUCUAAAAUUAUUUAAGCGUAUCCCGGAAAUAAUGGAAAUAUUAGAGUUGUAACUCCAAAACAGCAAAAUGGGACUUAAACAAUUCGUUCACAAAUUAUGUCCACUGGAGACAACAAAACAGCAGUAAAACAGAAGAGCUAAAUCAGUAACUAUAACAGUUUCUCUUCAUGCCCAAUCGGAGAUUAAUAAAGAAUUACUAUCUCCUUCUUGGGCAAAAGACAUUAAAGAUAUUCCAGAACUACAAAUAAAGUAUUUUGAUUCAACAUUAAUAAAUAA